UAUUAUGACUAAUAAUUCUAGUUAAUCCAAUCAUCAGAUAAACUUACAAAAAUUAUAAAUCGGCUCACCAGCAUCACAACUCGAUUUGGUAGUUGCCUGAGCCACGACGGCCUUCAGCUUGACGACGAGAUCGAAUAGAGAAUGGUGAGCGUGAGGAUUUCAUAGCGAGGAUGAGCGACAUCUUGGAUUCAUGGUCCGACAUUUAAUCGAACACAUCGAAAGCGAGGUACAGCAGGAAUGGCAGUGAGGCUUGACGGCGAACGUCGUGACGAUGAACGACGAGGUCGACGACGCGAUUGGGAAUUAAAGCCGAGCGAGCCGAGAGGGCGCACUAGCGAGCAGGAAACAGGACGUGACAACAUGAGGCCUGACCCGGCGAACAGCGACGUGGAGAGCAAAGCGAGGUCGCGGCCGGGCGAACUUUAUUACGCGGACUGCUUUGCGGUCAGGACGGCUAACAGAGAGUUUCGCGCGCGGUCAACAGAUAGCUUGCGCAGGGACUUCGCGGUCAACAGAUAGCUUGCGCAGGGACUUCACGGCGUGCGGUGGAGCUGAGCGCCGGCAAGCGUCCCAGGCGCGCGACGAGCUGAGGGGGUGAGCUGCGCGUGUACAGAGGACAGGGAAGGCGCGGGCCAGGAUCGGCCAUCGGCGCGGCAAUCCGAAGCUUCGGCCAGCAGGACACCGAGCAGAAGUUCGACACACGCAGGGAGAUGGACGUCGAGAGCUUGAAGCAGACUGGAGCACCACUACGCGCAGGGGAGAGCCACUGCUUGGAGACGCGCCGCGAGGUGCGUGGCCAGAGAGGACAUUCGAGCUGGGAAGAUGCCGGGGCUGGGCAGAGGAUGGGCUCGAGCUGGAGACGAGCUCGGUCGGGACCUAGGCACCGGGCACGCGAGAUCCAGCGAGCGCAGGGGCGCGGCACAGGGAGUCGGGCGAGCAGGGAGCUUCGCGCGGCCCGCGAUGAAGGAGAAGGGGCGCGCGGCGAUGGGGCAGAGGGAAGCUCGACGGCGGCCGAGCGAAGGGGCGAGCGCAGGGAUAGACUCAGCGGGGAAGCAAGGAGAUGGGCUUCGAGCUGAGCAGAGCGCGGCGAAGGGCUGCAGCGCUGGGGCUCGACUGGAAGAAGAGCGCUCGGCUGGCCGGAGAUGAGAGCGAGUGCGUGCAAGCAGGGAGAGAGAGACACGCGGGGAGGAGUAGGCGCUGGGAGAGAGAACGCGGCAUGAGCAGAGAGGGAGGAGAUAAGGCCGCGUCAGGGGAGAACGGCGGCGGAAUCUUCACCGGCGGUGAGCGGCGACCGUAGAAAAAUCAGGACAGGGUGAGAACGAUGACGUGUAGGAGAUAAGGAUGGCUGGAAAAAAAUUCAAAGAAGAGAAAAAAUAGCGGUAGAGAGAGGAUAUUUUUACUCCUAUUUUCGUUAUUUUCUCUCACGCAAAAACACCUGCUAAAGUACCAUGGUUCCAAAAAUUAAGAUUUUGAAGAGCCAAAUUAGAUCAGGCUACAGUAUUCGGAUAAUAAUUAAGACAACACUGGUUUAGUCGAAAUCGGAUAAAAAUUUAUCCGUUAUCUAAACAAAGUUGAGUUGAUUAUCCUACAGUGUGGGAUGGAGGAUAAAUUGGAUCAUAAACUUGCGCAAGAUUUCGCGCGAUUCGAAUUAUUUUGCCCCGCACAUUUUAGGCGUUGAGCUCAAAUUAACUUGUUCGGGAUAAAAAUCGUCCAAGUGGUUCGGGCUUCCGAAUUCGUAUUCGCACGAGCGAAGAAUUUUAAUUAAUCACCGGACGCACCGAUUUUCGGAAUGUCGAUGUUCUGAAUAUCACGAAAAUUUAGGAAGAGCCCGGACAGAUAAAAAUAAAAACGACGUCGCACUCGCGACAGCCGAAACAGAUGCGAUAUUAAAAUCGCGAUAGACGAAAGAUGUUUAAAAUUUAACGUCUGUUUUAUUCAGCGAUAUUACGUGCUUAAAUCCAUACUCGUUGUCGAGUGGAAUAUAAACACCUGGGGUGUUACAGCCCUCCCCCUUAAAAGAAUCUCGUCCCGAGAUUCGGAGCGAAAGACUUCUAAGGGUAGAGAAGUAUGUAACCAAGUUCAUAUCAGCGAUAAUCCUAAGACGGUCCGGAGCGAAGGCGAGUGCCUCAGGAUGUGGUUUCUCCAGUGGACAUGUCAUAUAUCGCCUUAGGCUAAUUUAGAAAUGUCCACCAGAAGAUACAAUGUCUGCCAGAAGAACAUAUAAGGUUCCAUGUGUGCAGUUUGCCUUUUCUGAUGACACUGCACUAUCUGAGUUUGUUGAGUGAGCAGCAAAUACGCAAUUUUUCCCAAACAGAAUCAGAUGCACCAUCUUGGGUAAAACACAUAGAAGGAGGUUUACCAAUAAGUGGUCAUUGGGAUUUCAUAGCACACAAGACGAGUGUGGAUGUCGAACAACAUCACAGUUAACUCGUGUUAGGCUAGAAAAUCUAAGUCCUAGAAGGUGAUAUAGAUUCGAGAAAAUCACCAGCGGAGGGAUCUGUAGAUGUGGACUUUGCAACUAGUCCAUUUUACCCAGUACUAAUCAUGGCUUGACUUGAUCACCUAUGCUGGAAAAACACACGUGAUGCGAUCGAGGCAUGACUAGAGCGAUAAUUAGGUGGUUAUUAGUCGACUUAACCUCGAUUCUUAUAAACACUUCCUUAAAAUGGGUGGAACCAAAGUGAGUUUAGACAACUCGAUAAAACGAUCCCUAAACUCAACUUUUGUUCAUUAGGCAGUUACAAGUCAGUAAAACCAACUUGUUGAACUACUUUUGGCAUUGAGCAAGUCCUCUCAGUACCAUCGGUAAGCCAAGGGUUGAGAGUUUACCUUUUUGCUAGCAAAAGGUCAUGCAUUUGGGUAGAAAUCCAUUUGGUCAGGUUGUUCAUCCGUUUCUUCAUGCGAGAUGAACAGACUUGAUUAGGGAAUACAUGGAUUAAAUGAAAGAGCGAAUGAACAAACUCCUGCAUUUCAGCAGCAGGGGAAAUCCAAUCUCCAUUUUGAGAGCUAAUCAGUUGUCUCUCGACACUAAAAAGCUCCAAGGCUUCACCUUUACACGAAGGACGUAAAUGGAACUUGUAUAAGUAGUCACUAUCAAGAUCAAAAGAAAAGAAACCAUAUAUGAAAGCGGUAUGCCCUUUUGAUCCAACAGAGAUGAUAGAUGUUGCUUGAUCACUUCGACAGACAACACCGAAAUCGUUUCAAAGGAAGGUCCAUGGAAAAUAACGUAUCAGUGUAGUUUCAUAAUGGAUCAUAGCCAGAGACUUCGAUACUCGCACGCGCCAAGCAGCAUAACCUUGCGUGUACAUUCACAAGGGGCUCUCAGUUUCGCCGCGGUACCAUAAGUCCUUAACCAUGACACCAUUGCCGAACAGCACCAAUAAUGAAUCUCAUGUGGUAAGAACAAUUUGUGUAGAGAUAACAUAUUGACAUAAUCUCAUAAUGGAUUAUGACUACUAACUGUGAUACUAGCGUGUACCGAGCAGCACAACCUUGUUUGUAUACCCACAGGAGGCCCUCGGUUUCGUCACAGCACCAUCGGUUUUAGUCAUAACACCAUUACUAGACGUAACCAAUAAGAAAUCUCACGCAACACAAAUGGAUUGAGCAGGGGUGACAAUAUACAAAAAGAUUCUACCUGUCAAAACGGUUACAAGUAGAGAGCCAAAUAGAUUAUGGCCCGAUGAAAUGAACAAGGCAUGGCCAUAACCUAAACUUGAUGAAAGGAGAAUGAUGGGAGACUGUUACUUCAGCCCAAGAAUAUUUCUACGCCCAUCGCAGAGAUCACAAGGUCAAGGAUUAGUUUCUGAUUAGAUACGGAGGAAAAACAAUCACAAGGUUAAGUUGGUAUGCCUUCAAUAGAUAUGAGAAAAUCAAAGGCAUCAAACUCAAGAAAAUGAUCGGACAUGUCUUUCCUAAAUUAGGUUGAUAAAACAACAUGGCGAUCUUCAAGAACAGGCAAACUAGAAUAGAGACAUCAGCUUGCACAAAUCAAACAAGGGAAUGGUUUUAGAAGGAAACAUGACUCGAGAUUCUUGUUUCAAGUCCGGGUACACUUUAUGUCCAACGAAGAAGUUAUCUAAGCAUUUAUUUGUAUGUGUUUGGUCAUGGAGUGAUAAUGGAAAAAAUCAACUUUGGGUCAUGGUUCACUAACUAAGAACAUGUCCUAGAUUUGGGUUUAGGAAAACAAGUCACUAACCUUCUAUCGACACAUUAAGCACAAGAGCACACAUAUAGCAUCUAAACAUAAUACCUAAGGAACGGAGAACAGCUAUUUUAUCGAAGUUCAUAAUUCAACAUUACACCAGAUUAUCUACAAUCACUGGUUACUAGAAUAAAGAUGAGAGAAGCAUUUUGGAUGUAUAGGUGACAAACAUGAUGCAACAAUCAGGAUGCAUGCUCGUCCUACACGUCCUCACUGAUUUUGCCAACCAAAUGUGGCAAUAGCGUUCUAUAUCGGUGGCAUACUUACGACUCUCACGGUAUUUUGCUAGUCGUCAACUACACAUACGUUUUCGAGGUUAGUGUACCUGCAGAAAAAUCCAUCACAGCCCAAUUCCCAAUGAUGCAGUUCACACAUGACAGUUUAUCACAGUUUAUACUCCAUAUAUUGCUAUAUGGAGGCUAGCUCAUCAUUAAGCGCCGAGCCACGCAUAGGCGUCGUUGCCACACUUUAACCAUAGAGCAACUCAUUAUGGUAACUUACCUUCUUACCUGAGCGUAGGUGCGUCGUUAUAAGUACAUUACACUUCUCAGUAGUCCCAUGUCUGUUUACCCAUACACAUCCAUGGGGUACUGAAUUCCCAGAAAAGUAAAUACUCCACAUCGCAGCCUUCAUAUAUACAUAUGUGGAACAUGUAUAUAAUCAAGCGCUUUUUACACUCUUCCCUAGACCGACGUUUGUUUCGUCAUGCUCUCACAUCUCACCUUACCUUAAGCGUCGAUCCAUUCAAAACUGAAUGGCCUCAAAAAUAACAUUACACAUGUAUGCAAUACCCACCUGGUUGUGGGUUAAUGUUUUGAACUAAUCCACCUGAUAGUCCUUAAUUUUAGGGCUUAACAGAGGAUGUCGCUAGCAUUAUAGUUUUUCAAAACUGUUUUUCAAAGCCAAACAAUGUGUUUAGUUGAAAAUAGUUUUUCUAAAACCAAAACUUUUGUUUUGAAAAUACGUAUGUGACUGUAUAUACUUAAUCCAGCUCCGAUACCAGCUGUGGCAGAACCUCCCAAGUUAUUGGGCCCACAUACACCUGUCCUUGUCUCAAAGACCUCAUACGGCUAUGCAUGUGCACCAAAUAACUUAACAGGAUCCGUCCGAGUGUCCCAAGGACCUCAGAUAAACCACUUACAACCAGAACCGCGGGAUUAAGUAACACAAAUCACACACACCAAUAUUUUUGCAGCGGAAAUCUUGUUACCAAAUUUUACAAGUUACAAAAAUUUUACAUUAUUUUAUCGGAGUGAUUGCAAAAGUAUAAGUUUGAAAUAUAUGCUAGCUCAAGGGACCAUCCUCAUUAAGAAGUUUAGAAGGGUUAGUUAGACUUAUAAGAAGGCCGAGCCCACCGGCACUUAACACCAUCAUCAGCAGCACAAAACUAUGACCUGAAAAACAACAGGGAAUAAAACCCUGAGUAUGGAAUUACUCAGCAAGACUUACCCGACUAAAGAAAAGACUCUCAAGGAUAUGCUGGAUUUGGGAAUCAAGGAGAGGCUUUUAGCAAGAAUCAACUUAGAUACUUUUGCAGAAAAAGCUUACUAAAGUGAGUCCUUACUUUCAAUAUUUUAAUGCCAGAUUAAAUAUUAAUAGACUCUGUUUGCACCUAGUCUAAUUUCACCAUUUCAUCAAUACAACAUCAUUUUUACUCAUAAUGUUUACAUCCUGACUUAGGUUGCAGGUCGGAGAUCAAGUCUCCACUCUCCGGGGAUAUAACGGCGAUCCGAAUCGAUUUACUCAGCUGAGGAUCUCUAACCAAACGACAUAUGUAGCACUUAACCCUUGCAUACGUCAACCGUUCCCACAGAUCCUCCACAACGUGAACCGGUCUGCGCUACCCGGGAGCACAGUACUCCUCCAUCCAGCCUCUAGCCAGGAGGGUACACGCUACUCCCACCAUCUCCCACGCCCAGUGCGCGGUUGUCUUUUCACGUAUGGAAUAGCCGGGUUCAAGCUUACCCUGUCCCAUUUCCAGGGCAUGUGGCUAGUUAAGAUAGUCCUUGAUCAACAGGCCUACAUACGCAUCCAAUCCUUAAUUAACCUGGGCGGAGCAUCACUGUUCCUAGCCCAAGUCCCGAUUUAAGUACUUCCAUCCUUAGGAGUGUUUGUGUUCCUUAGGAUAAAAAGAGCAUUAUAGGGAACCUUGCAGUAAGAUUCCACCAUGCUCCCAAUGAAAAUAUUCUUGCAGGUAGAAAUCAUCCUCCUCAGGAUAAACCUGAGCUAGGCAUAAGUGCAAAGGACUAACUCUAUCUGCUUAUAAGCAGGGCUAAGCAUUUUUUGUAAAUUAUAUUUUGAUACUUCACCAGAAGUAUCUAUAAAAGGAAUGGAUUUCAAGGUAGCCAAUGCAUCAAAGGGUUCCAAGCAACUCCUAUAAACCUAAUGCACAUUCACUAGACUUAAAGUGUGUAAAAAUAAUUUAAAAACACAAGGAAGGGGUUGCAUGCACUAGGGCUUGCCUGAAUAACACUAGGUUAGUGUUUGUUAGACGACGUCCACUUGACGACCAUCUUUAGGUUUAUCCAUCAGCAUCAUCCUGUGGAUUGGCCUGCGCUUGGGGUCGACUUGGGUCGCUUCCACAUCACGCGAUUAAUUAUCGUACCUGACUGAAAUGCAUUAUGCAUAUGAAUACAUAUAGAUAGGAAUAUUAUAAACCUAAAUAGUGCUACACGAUAGCGAAUUAAAUUCGUAGCGGCGAGGCGUUGUACUAUUUUACGAAAAUACUAGUUAUCGACCUACGACUAAGCGCAAUAAUUACGCUUCUCGAACCUAUCACAAACAACUAACUAUACACAUUAAAUAUAAUUAGCCUACACAACUCACCAGCUAAAUUCUAACCUUAUCACUUGCUUUAUAAAUUAUACUACAUCGCUCAUAAAGAACUAUUUUAAUUUUAUUUCACCCCUCACAUAUUUUACAUAUCAACAGUUAAUCAAACAUUUCUUUAUGUUAUUUAUUUAGUGCAAUUGACAAUGACAAAAUUCAUCAGAUAGCUAUAUGAAAUAAUAAAUCUAUCCUUUACGUCGCCACCUCGCUUAGAUUUCACUAAAUUAAUCUACCUUUCGCAUUACUAAACCCAUCGUACUUCACUUAUUUUUUAACACUACCACAACGCGCCUGCGCUAAAUACGAGGAUUAUUACGACUAAUAAUUCUAGUUAAUCCAAUCAUCAGAUAAACUUACAAAAAUUAUAAAUCGGCUCACCAGCAUCACAACUCGAUUUGGUAGUUGCCUGAGCCACGACGGCCUUCAGCUUGACGACGAGAUCGAAUAGAGAAUGGUGAGCGUGAGGAUUUCAUAGCGAGGAUGAGUGACAUCUUGGAUUCAUGGUCCGACAUUUAAUCGAACACAUCGGAAGCGAGGUACAGCAGGAAUGGCAGUGAGGCUUGACGGCGAACGUCGUGACGACGAACGACGAGGUCGACGACGCGAUUGGGAAUUAAAGCCGAGCGAGCCGAGAGGGCGCACUGGCGAG
rnacentral:lncRNA from 1 species